GACGAACGCUGGCGGCGUGCUUAACACAUGCAAGUCGAACGGAAAGGCCCCUUUUGGGGUACUCGAGUGGCGAACGGGUGAGUAACACGUGAGUAACCUGCCCUUGACUUCGGGAUAACUUCAGGAAACUGGGGCUAAUACCGGAUAGGAAUCCUUGCUGCAUGGUGGGGGUUGGAAAGCUUCGGCGGUUUUGGAUGGACUCGCGGCUUAUCAGCUUGUUGGUGGGGUAGUGGCUUACCAAGGCUUUGACGGGUAGCCGGCCUGAGAGGGCGACCGGCCACAUUGGGACUGAGAGACGGCCCAGGCUCCUACGGGAGGCAGCAGGGGGGAAGAUUGCACAAUGGGCGGAAGCCGGAUGCAGCAACUCCGCGUGCGGGAUGACGGCCUUCGGGUUGUAAACCGCUUUCAGCAGGGGCGAUGCUUGUGGUGACGGUACCUGCAGAAGAAGCACCGGCUAACUACGUG
rnacentral:rRNA from 1 species